UGGACUGUCUGCUUCUUCCUGAUGCUCAUUCUGCUGACUGUUGACACACACUUUGUGACAGUAGAGAGUGUUAUCACCUCUGUGAGCGACCUGUUUCCAAAACUGCUUCAUGCACCAGUGAGGCACGAGAUCUUUGUCCUUGUCAUUUGUUCAUCCUUCUUCCUAAUACAUCUGAUUCUGGUAACCGAGGGAGGAAUUUAUGUAUUCCAGCUUAUUGAUUAUUACGGUUGCACCAGAGCCUGCCAGGACUUUAUGACUGUAUGUCAGUGCCUGGCUGUAUGCUGGAUUUUUGGUGA